rnacentral:rRNA from 1 species
CUAUCAGGUAGUAGUGGGUGUAGCGUACCUACUAGCCUACGACGGGUACGGGUUGUGAGAGCAAGAGCCCGGAGAUGGAUUCUGAGACACGAAUCCAGGCCCUACGGGGUGCAGCAGGCGCGAAAACUUUACAAUGCUGGCAACAGCGAUAAGGGAACCUCGAGUGCCAGGUUACAAAUCUGGCUGUCGAGAUGCCUAAAAAGCAUUUCAUAGCAAGGGCCGGGCAAGACCGGUGCCAGCCGCCGCGGUAACACCGGCGGCUCGAGUGGUAACCGUUAUUAUUGGGUCUAAAGGGUCUGUAGCCGGCCGGAUAAGUCUCUUGAGAAAUCUGGCAGCUUAACUGUCAGGCUUUCAGGAGAUACUGUCUGGCUCGAGGCCGGGAGAGGUGAGAGGUACUUCAGGGGUAGGGGUGAAAUCUUGUAAUCCUUGAAGGACCACCAGUGGCGAAGGCGUCUCACCAGAACGGACCUGACGGCAAGGGACGAAAGCUAGGGGCACGAACCGGAUUAGAUACCCGGGUAGUCCUAGCCGUAAACGAUACUCGCUAGGUGUCGGCCACGGUGCGACCGUUGUCGGUGCCGUAGGGAAGCCGUGAAGCGAGC